rnacentral:tRNA from 1 species
GGAUCCAUAAGUUCUAAAUGGUAAGAGCGCUCACUAAGUGAGAGGUUGAUGGUUCGAAUUCAUCUGGAUCCA